GAUGAACGCUGGCGGCGUGCCUAAUACAUGCAAGUCGAGCGAACAGACGAGGAGCUUGCUCCUCUGACGUUAGCGGCGGACGGGUGAGUGACACGUGGAUAACCUACCUAUAAGACUGGGAUAACUUCGGGAAACCGGAGCUAAUACCGGAUAAUAUAUUGAACCGCAUGGUUCAAUAGUGAAAGACGGUUUUGCUGUCACUUAUAGAUGGAUCCGCGCCGCAUUAGCUAGUUGGUAAGGUAACGGCUUACCAAGGCAACGAUGCGUAGCCGACCUGAGAGGGUGAUCGGCCACACUGGAACUGAGACACGGUCCAGACUCCGACGGGAGGCAGCAGUAGGGAAUCUUCCGCGAUGGGCGAAAGCCUGACGGAGCAACGCCGCGUGAGUGAUGAAGGUCUUCGGAUCGUAAAACUCUGUUAUUAGGGAAGAACAAAUGUGUAAGUAACUAUGCACGUCUUGACGGUACCUAAUCAGAAAGCCACGGCUAACUACGUG
rnacentral:rRNA from 1 species